rnacentral:tRNA from 1 species
GAGGGUAUAGCUCAGUGGUAGAGUGCAUGCUUAGCAUGCAUGAGGCCCUGAGUUCAAUCCCCAGUACUUCCA